rnacentral:rRNA from 1 species
AUGCAGUCGAACGAUGACGGCCGUGCUUGCACGGUCUGAUUAGUGGCGAACGGGUGAGUAACACGUGAGUAACCUGCCCUCCACUUCGGGAUAACCUCGGGAAAUCGUGGCUAAUACCGGAUAUGAGCACUCAUCGCAUGGUGGGUGCUGGAAAGAUUUAUCGGUGGGGGAUGGACUCGCGGCCUAUCAGUUUGUUGGUGAGGUGAUGGCUCACCAAGACGAUGACGGGUAGCCGGCCUGAGAGGGCGACCGGCCACACUGGGACUGAGACACGGCCCAGACUCCUACGGGAGGCAGCAGUGGGGAAUAUUGCACAAUGGGCGAAAGCCUGAUGCAGCGACGCCGCGUGAGGGAUGACGGCCUUCGGGUUGUAAACCUCUUUCAGUAGGGAAGAAGCGAAAGUGACGGUACCUGCAGAAGAAGCGCCGGCUAACUACGUGCCAGCAGCCGCGGUAAUACGUAGGGCGCAAGCGUUGUCCGGAAUUAUUGGGCGUAAAGAGCUUGUAGGUGGCUUGUCGCGUCUGCCGUGAAAACCCGAGGCUCAACCUCGGGCGUGCGGUGGGUACGGGCAGGCUAGAGUGUGGUAGGGGAGACUGGAACUCCUGGUGUAGCGGUGAAAUGCGCAGAUAUCAGGAAGAACACCGAUGGCGAAGGCAGGUCUCUGGGCCAUUACUGACACUGAGAAGCGAAAGCAUGGGUAGCGAACAGGAUUAGAUACCCUGGUAGUCCAUGCCGUAAACGUUGGGCACUAGGUGUGGGGGACAUUCCACGUUUUCCGCGCCGUAUAUAACGCAUUAAGU